CUCUUACCAUAGUUUGCUGUCACUACUGACCACGGGCCAGACUGUGCACUUCUAAGAAUCCUUCAGAUGGAGUCAAUCGGACUGCUCAUAUGAACUUCUGCCUUCCUACAAGUGAACUUCAAAGCCUUUGAUAGCUGUGAAAAUCAGAAGAGCCUUUAUGCUAAGUAAAAUCUAUGUGGAAAGAGCACUGCUUCUGAUCCCACCAGGAGCUGCUAUACACCCCUUAUGUUUGUCAUCCUCUCAGCCUGUAUAAAAUAGUCAGUCUGCAUUCGUUUGGCUGUACCUUUACUGUGCUGUGUAAGCAAAACCUGUUAUACUGCUUGCCUGCUGGGCUUGGAGAUCAACCUGGAUACUCUGCUGUGAACCAGCCUAGGUGAUACUUUUCUAGAUGGCUACACUCUGUGCUUUAGGACCCUGACAAGUGACAGAGUGUACAGUGCAUCUUCCUUUCGUCCCAGCCUCCCUUACAGCAUCAACAUCAGGCAAACAGGUUACCUAAAAGGACAUCAUGACCAGCAAGAGCUGGGGCUCUGGAGCAGGAGCUCCCAAGAAGAGGUGCUAUGUGGAUAUAGCUGGCGCUGUCAAAUUGGAGAAGCUACAGCCUAACAGGACAGGCCAUGGUGCAGAGGAAGUGCUGAAGUGGUACAGGUGCCUCAAGAGAAAGUGUCUAUGA
rnacentral:lncRNA from 1 species